rnacentral:snoRNA from 1 species
UGCAAUCUAUGAUGCAAUUAUUUCCUAUAAUAAUGAUUUUAAUGUGAUUAUUUCAGAAAUAUCACCAUCUUUCGGCUGAGAUUGCA